CCCGGUCUUGAGCAUAUCUUUGAGAUCAAUGUGUCCUGUGGUGAACCCUAUUACAUUCGAAGGAGUUCCUGUCGGAAGGAGGAAGGCAAGCUGUGCUCCUAUUGAACCGGGAAGCAUAAGGAGCAGUGGAUGGACGUGCAUUGUUUUUGCGAUUUCUAUCAGAAGCGGGAGAACUAGAGUUGUGGUAGCAUUAUUUGAUGUGAUGAACUCGGUCAGUGUUGCACAUAUGAGACAGACUGCAGGAGCCAUGGCUAAGUAGGGAACUUGCUCUAAGAAAUCUAAGGCUUUUGAUAGUACGUUAGUGAGUCCACUUGUUUGGACUCCCUCGGCUAAGGCUAAUCCGGCUCCUAGUAGUAAUACAAUACCCCAUGGAAGUUUUUUGCAUUUGUUCCAGUCCAUUAGUUUCUCACCUGGUUGUUUCUUAUUUGGAAUUAUGAACAGCAGAGUUGCCAUCAUAACCUAUACAGAUGAACCGUUGCUAUGUAUCAAAAACAUUGUACAGCGAAAGGGGAUUUCAGAGUUUAGUUAGCUUAUCACCAGAAGGAAUGCAGGAAUGCAGGAAUGCUUAAUGCUCAUCUUAAUACUUAUACUUGGGGAGGAUGCGAGGCGUAUCACUGACACUGAACUUAACCCGAUAUACAGUCAUCAGUCUCAUCCCUCUUAUAGUGAACACUACUACUUAAAUUGAGAUGUUCUUGAAUACAUCAGUCUUUAUUUCUAAAUGAUUAGUCUCAAUAUAUUCAUUUGAAUUAUGUGUUAUUUUAAGAUUUACGAAUACUCACACUAACUGUUCCAUCUCCUGCACGACCGUUAAACAGAGCACCCCAUCCUGGAAUGUCAUCUGUUAUACUCCUCGUCAUCCACAGAAAAAUCAAAAUCUGAAAAUAAAAAGACCCGUAUAUCAUAAAUGCACAUAGAUUUUUUUCUGAUACUAAGAAGUUCACUUGCUACAAAAUCACGUAUUGUCACAGUACCGAAAAUAUGGUCAAUAUCAUCUUCUCAGCAAAAGCCAUUGGACCUGUGUACAAGUCAUGAAACAUCAUUUUUAUAUAGCACCUACUCUCAAAUUUGUAAUUAAAUUUGGGCACUUACCUAGCAUAUCAAGCUCCCUCUUCAAAUGGGAUUUAUCAAGAUAAGUAGAAAGAGUUGGACCUGAACCCUUUGGUACAAACCAUAAGCAAAGAAUGAUCCACAUAGCGAAGAAAAUGAAUAGAGCCAACGGGAACCCGAAAAGAAUAUAAGUGCUGAAUGUAAUAGGAUCGGCUUCUGGAAAGUAACUUUUCCACAUUCCAACCAAUAUCAGAUUAACACCUGUCCCAGUGAGUGUGCUUAUACCUCCAAUUGUUGCAGAGUAUAUUACACCUAAAACGACAGCUUUGCAGAACUUGGUAGUUACAACGUCGGAUCGUGGACCAGUUGGGAAUCUCUGUAAUAUACCAGUUGCUACCGGCAUCAUCAUUAAAGCUACUGCUGUGUUGUGCAUCCACAUGCUGAUGAAUGCUGUUGUGCCACAUAUUCCUAGCAGUAGUAUUUGUGGGUUCAGUGGUUCCCCGCUGAAUAAUACUGUUAUCUGCAUAAUGUGGUAGGAAAAUGACACUUUAAACUUGCGGGCUCGAGUGUUNGGAUGGAAAUUUUUAGAGUGCCCCCUCACGAUGUAUGUUCUGGCUCCGCCAAUGUAUACAUGUACUUUAUACAUAAGGUACAUAAGAAACUCAGGUACUAGAUUUUCCAAUGCUCCAAUGCUUGCUAUCAGUCCCGAAAACGAAAGCCCCUGCAGAAAUACAAAUGCGAGACGAAAUUCAAUUUACUAAAGUAAAACAUAAAGUUUGCGUUAAAAAAACGGUUUCUAUGAUGUGAUCAUGAGCAUGCUAAAUACUAAAUUUCAUGAAUUUGACUCAUUUUGAGUGGAUCCUAUACUCUGCAUAUACAAAAAUUAUAUCAAUCAAAAUAAACUAAAUGCAUAGAAUUUAACGCUUAACAUAUGACCAUGACACACACCAGAUAAACUGUUAAAAAAUUCAUGUCGAAAAGAUGGAAAGGAUCGUGGAUAACAUAAAAUUA
rnacentral:lncRNA from 1 species